GGCCGGCCCAUCUCAUCGCGCCUGCACCGUCCCGGUGCUGGGGGCCGUGGCCGUCCGCGCCGAAUCGCCACGUUGAAUGGCUGCCCAGCUCUUCCCUCCUGAUUCCGGUUGUUCCAGCGUUCAGCCCUAGAGGUCUUCAUCACAUUAGCCAAAUCACCUUCCGGGUUUCGGAAAGAGGCCUGCUCGCUUAGAGUCUGGGCACGAACGCGCCCUUUGCCCCCCCUCCCGCCCCCGUCUCAGACCGUUAGCCCGAGCCUGUCUGAGAGACGCCGGCAGUUGUCUCAGACCAUCUGCUGCCCAUCCGGAGGUCAGCCUCUGCAGCAGCCCGGCCCGGCCGGCAGGAAGAGAAAGCCUCCACGUGUUUAACCACUCGUCUGCGUCAGCACCCCCCGGUUCUCUGCCCGGACUCAUUCCUCAGUGGCUAGCGCCCCCAACCUCUCUGUGCACUCCCCAGUAAUACCCCCUCAGCUUCCGCUGUCCAUUCUCUCCCUGAGGUGUCUGCAUCAGCCCUAUUCUCGCCCCCAAAUCGGCCUGCCCCUCACCCUGUGGAGCCCCAUCCCUAGGGACCUGUCUCUUACGUCGGACUCCUCUCUAUUCUCUGGCCCCCCCUGAGACCUUGUCUCCCCCGCCUCAUCCCGCUCCACUUUCCGGAUGGCUCCGUUCUCCCAGGCCGCUUGUCCAGCGCUGCUUACAUCUUCUCUCACCCAGCCUCAACACUGAUCCCAGAGGAGGACGUAGAGCACUGUUCCUCGUGGCUUCUCCCCCUGCCCCACCACCCUCCAUGAUUUCUCCUCCUGGCCAUUAGCUGUGGAUCCCCGGCUAUGGAUUUCUUCAUUAGUUCAGUGCCUGACCCAGAGAUUCUUCCCUCCCCCAGGUCCCGCCCGCUUAUUUGUGGGCCUUUGACAUGUAUGCUGAUAUUCUUUCUAAUACUCUUGUUCUCUAGGUCCUCAGCCAUUGAUGAAGUUUCCCAUGAGCCUUUCCCCCUCGUCACCUCGACCAUGUAUAGGGAUGGCCAUUGGUCUUGCCAUAACUCACGUGUCCUUUCACUGCCAUAUUCAAACAUCUCAAAUCCCUUUUGUUUCGGUCAUAUCCGAUUCUUCAUGACCUCAAAUCCCUUGAUGUGAUCUUAAUAUUUUGUCAUUCCAUCUCUUCCUUUCCCUGACUUAGGAUUCUUAGCCCUGCUCUGGUCCACACGGUCACUCCCAGUCCCACAACACCUCAGUUCUCUGUGGCAUCCUCUUCUCCAUGUUCUCAUUGUGAUCGAUCCCUCAGUGUAUCAGUUCACCUCUGCACUGUCCUCUUGAAUCCCUCCCCCAUCACAUUUCCCCAAAUCUCGACCCCGUUAUUCCGUUUCCUUCCCUCCUCUUCAGGUGCUGCUGAACCAAACUGAAGGAAGUCACAAAACCAUGUUCGAUGGCUCUAGUAUAAAUCUGUUAUGUCAUCUCAACAAGAACCCAUUUUAGCAAAACAACCCUCCUUCACUAAUUCUCUAUCUCACUUGCUUCAGUAGCUCUUCCAAAUCUUUCCUCUUUUCUCCUCCUGUAGAAUGUUCCUCUUGUUCAUUCGGCCACCAAAAAUAUUGGGGCCAUUCUCUCAGAAUUCCCCCUUCCUUUUCAACUCAGAUGAGUCAACUCUCUCCCCUCCAUAGUCUCCUCUCUCAUCUCAGAUCAAGAGUUGGUCCUUCUCCUUGCCAAGGCCAUCCCCAGUAUAGGCACCUUUGAUCUCAUCUCCUUCUGGCCUCACCCAACAGACCAUCCCCACUUUUAUUUUCUCCCUCUGAUCUUCUACCUCUUCCAGUCUACUGGCUCCUUUCUUGCUGCCACCAAACAUGCCCUUGUCUCCUCCAAAAGCCCUCACUUGAUUUGACCAUCCCUUCAAGAGAGUAUCCUGCAUCUCUCAUUCUCAGCUAAAUGCUUUGAGAAAGCUAUGUACAAAUGACUCCUUUUCAGAUCAUGAUGCAAUAAAAAUUCCAUUUAAUAAAGGGCCCUGGCAUGGUAGAUUAAAAAUUAAUAGGAAAUUAAAUAAUCCUAAAAAAUAAGUGGCUCAAAGAACAAAUCAUAGAAAUGAUAAUUUCAUCAAAGAGAAUGACAAUAAUGAGACAAUAUAACAAAAUUUGUGGGAUGCAGCCAAAACAGUUCUUAGGGGAAAUUUAUAAAUGCUUACAUCAAUAAAACAGAGAAAGAGCAGAUCAAUGAAUUGAGUGAGCAACUAAAAAAGCUAGAAAAAGAACAACCUAAAAACCUUCAAUUAAACACCAAAUUGAAAAUCUGGAAAAUCAAAGCAGAGAUUAAUAAAAUUGAAAGUAAGAAAACCAUUGAAUUAAUAAAAUCAAGAACUGGUUUUGUGAAAAAAAAUAAUUAAAAUAGAUAAAUCUUUGGUUAAUUUAAUUUUUUUUAAAGAAAACUCUAUUUACACGACAUGCCUCCAUGUCCCUCCUCUCACUAGUUGGUAAAUCAGUUUCAUCAUUCACCAAAGCUGCCCUACCCAAAUUACCAAUGAUCUUUCUUCACAACCUAAUCUAAUGGUCUUUUCUCCAUCUUCAUCCUUUUUGCUCUCUUAGCAGCUUCUGAAACUGCCAAUCACCCACUGCCCGUGUAUACUCUCUUCUCUCUAGGUUUUCUGUGUUUUUCCUCCUAUCUUUGUCUUCCUUGCUGGGUCUUCAUCUGUUACUCCCAUUAACUCUGUUCUAGGAUCUUUCCUCCCACUGUAUCCCAUCUCCCUUGUGAACUUCAUCAGGUCAUGAUGCUCAGGUCUUUAUAUCCAACCCUCCUCUCUCCUGACCUCCAUCUCCAACUGUCUAUUGUUCAUUUCCUUUUGUGUUUCCUCCAGAUAAUGCUGAUGCCCAAUGUCUACUGUAGGACAAAACUCCCCCACAACUUGUUGCUAUUCUAAAUUUCUAUUUUUCUGCCCAGGGUACCAUCAUCCUUCUGGUCACCAGGUUCCAACUGGCUCAUCUUUGCCUCCUCAUUUGAACUCUCUCUUCAUAGCCAAUCACUAAUUGUUUCUAUCUAUCCCUACAACAUAGUAACACCCUAAUCGAGCCCCUUAUCACCUCACUCCAGGCCUCUGGCAUUAGCUUUCUAAGUGGUCUUCCUGCCUCAAGUAGCCUGUUUCCCUACCUCCAUUCAACUGUUGAAGUUAUUUUCUGAAACUGCAGGUAUGAUUUGGCAUCUCCUCUCCCCUACUCAAGAAACUCCCAUGACUCCCCAUUGCUUCUGGGACUGACCUAUUGCCUCUGGAACCAAGCAUAUACCAGGUAUUUAUGAAUCUUGCAAAGUCAAUGGAGAGGAACUGUCCUUUCCCAGCUGGAGUGGGAGCGGAAAUAUCAGGAGCCCCGGACUUUGUGAGGGAUGUCCGAGAGGCCCCGUCCCCAACCCUCCCUCUCUGAGUCAGUCCAAGACCCUUGGAUUGGGGAGAGUGAAGAAGUCUGUUAACGACACCAAUUAAUGAGUGUGAAAUGCCAUUUACACCAGGGGAACAGCUGCAGACAGCUGGAGAUGGCUCCAAACCUUGGCACCAAUGUAGACAGAUGCUACCUUUUCUCCCUCCUCCCCCAAGUGAUUCCUCCUUUUUAAAUUAACGGCUUCAAAGGUCUAAUUAAAAAGGAUACAAAGUAGUGAUUUUGGAGAAAGGCUUUUGUGCCUGGUGUUAAUUAUGUUAGCGCAAACAGGAGAGAAAUCUGAUUUCAAGUUACCUUCCUCAUGCUAUUCAAGGGGAAAGGUGUACGCUGUUUGAAACCUCUUGAUCUGAUGAAAACCGACAAGCUUUGUCACCUCCAUGGUGCCUAAGCAUCUGUGAAUGCAUGAGAAUGCAUGGGAAUGGUCAUGGAAGGGAAUGUCCUGUGGCCUGGUCCAUAGCCCAUGAAUACAAUAGAGCUGAAGGUCCUAAACAGAGAGCUCAUUUGGGUUUUAUUGGACUUAACUGAAAACUCCAUGUCACCAUGUCUUGAUCUCAGCACUAUUGAUCAGAAGGGUUAUAAACUCAGAAUGGGGAGGGGCCUUAAAAUGGAAUGUCAGAACCACGAGGAAGCUUAGAACAGAGAAUGUUAGGACUGGGAAGGGGCUUUAGAACAGGAGAUGUCAGAGCUCGGAAGGGGGUGUCAGUGCUAGAAAGGAUAUGGAGUCAAGGAAUAUAGGUUAAGAGGGGCCUUAUUUACUUCAUUUUGAGAUGAGAAGAUUGAGGAUUUUAGCUGGGAAGACACCUGCCAAAGGUCAUGUGGUAUUCCCCUAAAACCAAGAAGAAUGGAUGGCCUCGGAAUAGUAGAAAAAUAAAUAAUUUGGGAACCAAAAGAUGCAAGAUAGAUUCCCAGCUCUGACAUAUAUCUGUUAUGUGAGUGGUUCUGAGUCACUGAAUCCCUCCGAUCUCAUCUCAUUCAUCCGUCUGUCAAUCAAUCAAUAACUUAAGUGCCUCCUAUGUGCCAGGUACUUCAAGUGUGUAUUCAUAAAAUAAAGGUAAUCACAUUCCCUGGAGCUGCCCACCUCCCGAGUUCUUAGAAGCCACAACUUUUGAAACCUUGGAGCCCCAUGGCAAUGGAAGUUCCUGUUCUUAGGAUUCAAUUCCGCAGUCAAAGGUCCAUCACUACUGAGGUCUUGCUCUGCCCCUUCCUGUCUAGGUGACUUUGGAUUAGUCCCUUCUACUCCCCCAGCCUCAAUGUCCUCAUCUGUGAAAUGAAAAAAUGAGGUAGAGGUAAUUCCAAGCUCCUUUCUACUCUGUCAGUUGUGUUUUUUCUAGGGGGUCAGAGCGGAUGGAUGGAUGGACCACUCUCCCAGGUGCUCUUGGACUGAGUGUUCUCGAAGGCACUAGGUUAUGGAGAGCUCUCCAUUGUGCUGCUGGACAUAGAGCUCUCCAAUAUGUUACUUCAUGUGGAGCUCUCCAGGGUGCUGCUGGACAUAGCGCUCUCCAAGGUGCUGCUUCAUGGGCAGGUCUCCGAUGUGCUGCUGGACAAAGCGCUCCCCAAUAUGCUACUUUAUGGGGGCUCUCCGAGGUACCACUUCAUGGGGAGGUCUCCAAGGUGCUACUGGAUAGAGGACUCUCCAAGGUACUGCUUUAUGGGGAGGUUUCUGAAGUGCUGCUAGACAGGGUACUCUCUAAGGUACUCCUGAAUGGGGACUUCAUCUUCUGCAGCUCCUUUCUCCUCGUGCCCUUCUACUUUGAUAAAGUUCACUGGGGAUGCUGCAAGCAAGCUGUAUUUAAUCUCCAGAACGGAAGCACGUUCAAUUAGUCCAUCAUCUCUGGGUAGAGCCCAAACAGACACUUUCUUGGACAUUUCUCCUGUAAGGAAUCCCAGAAGGGUGAUGGGAGGGAAAUAUUAUAGAGUACCUUUGAAGGUCACAUUCCUAACAACACUAUGGAAUCUAGAAGAUAGAGCCUGAUUUGAAAUUUACAUGUGAGGAAAUGAAGCCUGAGUAAGAGAACCAUCUGUGGUGCUGGAAACAUCACUGGGCACUGGAAUGAGUUCCAGUUAGUUAUUCAGUAACUAACUGUGCGACCCUCUCUCAGAACUUUGUUACUUCCUCCCUCUGAAUCCUGGUUUGUGUAUCUAUAAAAUGGAGGAAAUGACAUUUUUAAUGACUUAAUUGUGGGGCUACUGGGAGGCCCACCUGAGCUAAUGGAUGGGAAAUUGCUUUGUAAAUUGUAAAGGCUACAUUGAGUUCUACAUGGGUUUAUUAGUGAGAGGAAAGCUUCAUGGAGAUGAGGGGUCUUAAGUUGGGUCUUCAAGAAGAGGUGGUUUUCAGAUUACAAAGUCCCAGGAAACAUUACUUCUGAUAUUGUUUUUUAUCCCCCAUAAUCCUAUGCACAGAGUAGUUGCCUAGAAGAAGUUUGAUGGUGGAGGAAUGAACAGCAGCAGGUUCACCUCUGCUCCUGGCUGUAGGGAGUAAAUCUGCAAAGAAGAAUUGAAACUCACUGCAGGAGUGAAGUUCUGGCUGGAUCUGCCAACCCCCAAGAGCAAGAAGUCCAAUGGACUUGGAGGGAGAGCAUCCCAGUGAGUGGGAGCCCAGAGUGAGGGGCCUUUGCCACUAUAGUAGGGAGGAUGGAACAGAGAUUCGAAGAGCAAGAGAAAGAGGAAACUGAGGCAAAGAGGUGAAGUUACUGUCCCAAAGGCAUAGCUAGUCUCAGCCUCAGGAAAGGGGACAAAGAGUGCAUCUGGGCUCUCUGUCUCACCCAGGACUGCAGGAAGGAAUUCAGGCCUGAUAUGCUGAUGAAGAAAGAGCUCCUGCUCCAUGAAGGUCUAAAGCUCGCAUUUGGCAAAUCGACGGAAACUUCCAGCAAAUGCAGACUCCUCCAAUCUGCUCCCCAGAGAUGACCCCUUCAGAGUCAGCUAUAACAGCGUCUGACGGACUUAGAAGGCUCUUUGCCUGGCCUCCACCUGGUCAAAAGCUCCCUUUGCCCACCCUUGACAAGUGGUUUUUCUGAAGACUUCCAAUGGAUGGGGAACUCACUACUCGCAACAUAAUUCAUCUCACUGGGGGACAGCUCUGCGUGUAAUGAAGUUCUUCCUUUACUGAACCGAGACUAGCCUCCCUGUAGCUUUCAUUCCCCCACACAGGCACACAUGCAUGUGCACACAGCAUCACUCCCCCAAGUAUCCUCAGAUACUUAAAGAGACCCAGUCAGAUUAUUGUUCUGUAAGAAACGGCCAGCAGGAUGAUUUCAGAGAGCCCCGGGGAGACCUAUGUGAUCUGCUGCUGAGUGAAGAGAGUGGAACCAGGAGAUCAUUGUACACGGCAACAACAAAAUUAUACAAAGAUCAAGAGCUGUCUGCUCCCAGAGAGGGCUGUGGGAACUGGGCGUGGACCACGACAUAGCAUUUCCACUCUUUUUGCUGUCGUUUGCUUGCUUUUUGUUUUAUUUUUCAGUUUUCCCUUUUUGAUCUGAUUUUUCUUGGCAGCAUGAUAUUUGUGGAAAUAUGUAUAGAAGAACUGCACGUAUUUAAGAUCUAUUGGAUUACUUGCUGUCUGGACAGGGAAAAGGGAGGGGAAAAAUUUGGAACAUAAGAUUUUGCAAGGGUGAAGUUGAAAAUUAUCCAUAUGUAUAUUUGAAAAUCAAAAAGGUUUAAUUAAAAAAAAAUCCAUUCAGGAUCAGGUCACCUCCACCAGGAAUUACAGCCAAAUGAUCAGUGUAGAUUGUUAUGAUUUUUAAAAGGGAAGAAAUGAUGUAACACAUUCAUUAACCAAAAAUUAAGCACCUACUAUGUGCUUGGUAUUGUCUUAAGUCCUGAGGAGCUAGGACAAAAAAAAAGAUAGAAAAAGUCCUUACUUUGGGGGAGCUUCUGCCUUCUCAAGGAGACAAUACCUGCAGAAUAAAGACUGACCAAUUCUAGAUCGUUACAGACAAGGGUAUGGGAGGGUGGAGACCUGAGCACUCAGAAGGUGCACCUCUCCCUAGUGGGAUGUGGGCUGUUCUGUCCCCUCCUCAUAGAACUUUGCACACAUCAGAGCAAACAGCAUCUCUGUCCCUUUGGAGCAAGAAUUGGUUUUCAAUAAGAACAAUGGUAGGAACAGCAGCAUUUCUACAGCACUUUAAGGCUGGUAAAGAGCUUCACAAAUAUGAUUUCAUUGAGCUUCACCACAAACAUGGGAGGGACAUUUUACAAAUGGGGAAGUCGAGGAAGUUAGAGGUAAAAUGACUUUUUCAGGCUCCCCCAGCCACUGAAUAUGUGAGGCUGAAUUUGAAUUCCUCCUGUGUACUGCAGCAUCCAUGUGUCUUUACUAGCUCACCUGUCCAAGAGGGGGUCAGUCUCAUUAAGGUCCGUGCUCCAAGCCCUGUAAUAGCUGUUUCAGGAUGCUUCUCGGAGAUAGCCGCAUCCUGCCUCUUUCCACGUAGGUGGGUUUCCCCUCCACUUCCUCUGCCUCCUCUAGGCCUGAAAUCCUUGGGUGUGCCAAAUUAAAUACCUGAAAAGUCUCCUGAAACGUCUAUCGGUUACUAUGGUAACGGGAGAAUAAUGCCCAUUUCCCUGUAAAGCGCAGCAGACAAUCCCAUUUCCCCCCUUGCAUUAAAGCCGGCCAAUUAUUGCUAAUCGCUGGUGGGUGAGAAGCCGGGCUCUCCCAGGCAGACCUCCUCCUCCUCCUCCCCGUUAGCAUCGGCAGGCGACAGUGCCCGGCCGGGUAGGCCGGGCUGCGGGAUGUGGAUUAUCUGAGAGUUCAUUAUCAGAGCCCAGGCUGGAUUGAUUAUCAAUAACCGGCCUUUCACUUACUUACCAUCCUGCGGCGGGUUGGCUGAUUUAAUAUCCUGGCGGUCCCUCAGCUGAUCUAAUCAGCCCAGCUCCUUCCAUCUGGAAGCUUUGGGAGGCGGCGAGCUCCCCAGGCCCGAU